rnacentral:rRNA from 1 species
UACGAAGGGGGCUAGCGUUGUUCGGAAUUACUGGGCGUAAAGCGUUUGUAGGCGGUUAUACAAGUCAGUGGUGAAAGCCCGGGGCUCAACCUCGGAAUUGCCAUUGAAACUGUAUAGCUAGAGAGUGUUAGAGGAAAGUGGAAUUCCUAGUGUAGGAGUGAAAUCCGUAGAGAUUAGGAGGAAUAUCGAUGGCGAAGGCAGCUUUCUGGGACAUUUCUGACGCUGAGAAACGAAAGCGUGGGUAGCAAACAGG